CAAUAUUUAAAAUGGCGACACCAACAAAGGACACAAAUCAUUUUGACGAUUUAUUAACGGGUACAAUUUGUUUGGAAACUUUCAAAGUUCCGAAAUAAUUGCCAUGUCUCCAUACUUUCUGUGAAUCGUGUAUACAAACUUACAUUGUAUUAUUCACGCAAAAGGAAAAGCAGUCUGAGGAAUUCAAAUGUCCGGUAUGUUGUACAGUUGUUUCAUCCGACAAAACACCAGGAAAACAAGAAGCAAUGGCAUGUAAUCUACCGACGAACCAUAUUGUGAAGUCGAUGCUGGAUAAGCGAGUUAUUCAAAGGUUUGAACAAUUGUGUAACUCAUGUCAAAUAAACAAUGAGACAAUAACGGCAAUUUCUUGGUGUACUACUUGUGAAGAGGCAUUUUGUGAACAAUGUGAUAAAUGUCACAAAUCUUUCAAAUUU
rnacentral:lncRNA from 1 species